AACGAACGCUGGCGGCAUGCCUAACACAUGCAAGUCGAACGAAACCUUCGGGCUUAGUGGCGCACGGGUGCGUAACGCAUGGGAACCUGCCCUUAGGUUCGGAAUAACUCCCCGAAAGGGGUGCUAAUACCGGAUAAUGUCUUCGGACCAAAGAUUUAUCGCCUUUGGAUGGGCCCGGGUUGGAUUAGCUAGUUGGUAGGGUAAAAGCCUACCAAGGCGUCGAUGCAUAGCUGGUCUGAGAGGAUGAUCAGCCACACUGGGGCUGAGACACGGCCCAGACUCCUACGGGAGGCAGCAGUGGGGAAUAUUGGACGAUGGGCGAAAGCCUGAUCCAGCAAUGCCGCGUGAGAGAUGAAGGCCUUAGGGUUGUAAAGCUCUUUUACCCGGGAUGAUAAUGACAGUACCGGGAGAAUAAGCUCCGGCUAACUCCGUG
rnacentral:rRNA from 1 species